AACGACUCUCGGCAACGGAUAUCUCGGCUCUCGCAUCGAUGAAGAACGUAGCGAAAUGCGAUACUUGGUGUGAAUUGCAGGAUCCCGCGAACCAUCGAG
rnacentral:rRNA from 1 species